AUUGAACGCUGGCGGCAGGCCUAACACAUGCAAGUCGAACGAGUGGCGGACGGGUGAGUAAUGUCUGGGAAACUGCCUGAUGGAGGGGGAUAACUACUGGAAACGGUAGCUAAUACCGCAUACCAUCGGAUGUGCCCAUAUGGGAUUAGCUAGUAGGUGGGGUAACGGCUCACCUAGGCGACGAUCCCUAGCUGGUCUGAGAGGAUGACCAGCCACACUGGAACCGAUACACGGUCCAGACUCCGACGGGAGGCAGCAGUGGGGAAUAUUGCACAAUGGGCGCAAGCCUGAUGCAGCCAUGCCGCGGUUAUGAAGAAGGCCUUCGGGUUGUAAAGUACUUUCAGCGGGGAGGCGUUACCCGCAGAAGAAGCACCGGCUAACUCCGUGCCAGCCGCCGCGGUAAUUC
rnacentral:rRNA from 1 species